ACUAUUUUCUCUUCAAUCAGACUUCCAAAAUAUUUCGCCUCCAGUCUUGUAUAUGGGUGAGUUCCUCCUUGUGAUUUCUAGGAAACCAGGCUGAGAAAUUCCCCAACACAUUUAGCAGGGGAAAUUGUAUCCCAAAGCCAUAAAUACAGGAAUGAGCUGCCUAUGACAGAAGCUGUUUAUACAAAACAUUCAACUUGGGUCAUCCCAUCCCAAACCACUUGCAACCAAAGGGAAGGAAAGGAGUCCACUGGACUUGGAAUCUCCUCUAGUUAAAUAACAUUUGGGGUUAUUCAGUAUUUUUCUGUGGAUUCUAUCAGUUGCAUAUAAAAUAUGAAAAUCCUGUUGGAUAAUUUUCUAACCUCAUAAACAGAGGGGCCCUUCGGGUUCCUGGGAAAUUUCUCUCAGUUAGCUUCAGUGUAGGAACUGAACAGAACUGAGCCAAAGCAAGCUUAGUGUGGCCUAGCCUGGUCUGGUGCCCCUUUUCCUGGCAUCUCCUGAGCUGGCCUUCCUUCAUCACUCCUAUAAUUCCCAGGUUCCAGCCAUCAAGUCAUCAUGAGAAUCCUCUACCUGGUGUUUAUGAUGCUAUUUGUGAUCUUCUCCUGUUUUGGCACAGGUUUCACCCAACUGGUGACCAUGAGGAUCCUUUAUCUGAUGUUUGUGGUGGUCUUUGUGAUCUUCUCCUCUGCUGGCAAAAGUAAGAUGUGGGCUAAAUAUCAAAGAAGGAGGGGGGCGUAU
rnacentral:lncRNA from 1 species